rnacentral:rRNA from 1 species
CGAAAGGCUCAUUAAAUCAGUUAUGGUUCCUUAGAUCGUACCCACAUUUACUUGGAUAACUGUGGUAAUUCUAGAGCUAAUACAUGCAAACAGAGCUCCGACCGGAGACGGAAGGAGCGCUUUUAUUAGAUCAAAACCAAUCGGUGGCGGGUUCGCUCGUCAUCGUACAUUUUGGUGACUCUGAAUAACUUUUUGCUGAUCGCACGGUCCAGCACCGGCGACGCAUCUUUCAAAUGUCUGCCUUAUCAACUGUCGAUGGUAGGUUCUGCGCCUACCAUGGUUGUAACGGGUAACGGGGAAUCAGGGUUCGAUUCCGGAGAGGGAGCCUGAGAAACGGCUACCACAUCCAAGGAAGGCAGCAGGCGCGCAAAUUACCCACUCCCGGCACGGGGAGGUAGUGACGAAAAAUAACGAUACGGGACUCAUCCGAGGCCCCGUAAUCGGAAUGAGUACACUCUAAACCCUUUAACGAGGAUCAAUUGGAGGGCAAGUCUGGUGCCAGCAGCCGCGGUAAUUCCAGCUCCAAUAGCGUAUAUUAAAGUUGUUGCGGUUAAAAAGCUCGUAGUCGAAUCUGUGUCCCGCGCCGCCGGUUCAUCGCUCGCGGUGUUAACUGGCGUGCCCGCGAGACGUCCUGCCGGUGGGCUUAGCUCGUUCGCGGGCGGCCCAACUUCAAAUCCCACCGCGGUGCUCUUGACUGAGUGUCGAGGUGGGCCGGCACGUUUACUUUGAACAAAUUAGAGUGCUUAAAGCAGGCUAAAACUUCGCCUGAAUACUGUGUGCAUGGAAUAAUGGAAUAGGACCUCGGUUCUAUUUUGUUGGUUUUCGGAACCCCGAGGUAAUGAUUAAUAGGAACGGAUGGGGGCAUUCGUAUUGCGACGUUAGAGGUGAAAUUCUUGGAUCGUCGCAAGACGGACAGAAGCGAAAGCAUUUGCCAAAAACGCUUUCAUUGAUCAAGAACGAAAGUUAGAGGUUCGAAGGCGAUCAGAUACCGCCCUAGUUCUAACCAUAAACGAUGCCAGCUAGCGAUCCGCCGACGUUCCUCCGAUGACUCGGCGGGCAGCUUCCGGGAAACCAAAGCUUUUGGGUUCCGGGGGAAGUAUGGUUGCAAAGCUGAAACUUAAAGGAAUUGACGGAAGGGCACCACCAGGAGUGGAGCCUGCGGCUUAAUUUGACUCAACACGGGAAACCUCACCAGGCCCGGACACCGGAAGGAUUGACAGAUUGAGAGCUCUUUCUUGAUUCGGUGGGUGGUGGUGCAUGGCCGUUCUUAGUUGGUGGAGCGAUUU